CCUCGGUUCUUCUUUCUCGAUGCGCUUCUAAUUUGGGGCGCGCAUGACCAAGUCUCUGGAGAAUCGCGUAUGAGCAGCGCCUGACGCUAAUUCAUUGAUCAAGCCGCACCGUCCGCUGGCACGGUGUACCUUUGUGGCAAGGCGGUCGGACGAACUCGCUUGCUCCAACGAAAGAAACGUCGUGCACAAAAUGAAAUCCACAAAUGGCAAUUUAAUCUCGCCGGCGCUGUUCUGCAGGGCCGAAUCCUGCGAGCGACGAAGGAGGCUUGGGCACCGAGGUGGAGGCGAAACCGGUGCUCUCGAUGAUGGUACGGAAGCUGGAGGCAAAAAAAAGAAAAGAAAAAGAGAAGCUAAGCGGCGACAAGAUGCGUUCCGGGCGUCCUCGCGUGGAGGAGCUGCUUCUUUUCGCCUACUGCGGAACAACGCUGCUCCCCCUUGUUGUUGCACAGACCUUGGGCGAGAAAUGAAGCUUGGGACCACGUAACGAUAUGGCUGCAGUGACCCAGUGGGUAGGGAGGGCACCAGGCUCGGCUGCCGUAGGUCGACCCUCCCUCCUUACGCAAUAA